UACGUAGGGUGCAAGCGUUGUCCGGAAUUAUUGGGCGUAAAGAGCUCGUAGGCGGUCUGUCGCGUCGGCUGUGAAAACUCGGGGCUCAACCCCGAGCCUGCAGUCGAUACGGGCAGACUAGAGUGCUGUAGGGGAGACUGGAAUUCCUGGUGUAGCGGUGAAAUGCGCAGAUAUCAGGAGGAACACCGGUGGCGAAGGCGGCAUCCUGGACCGAUAUUGACGCUGAUGCGCGAAAGCCAGGGGAGCAAACGGG
rnacentral:rRNA from 1 species